UAAGAAAAAAAAACAUUCAUUUCUUUUUUCUUAUUUUCUCGUAUUUUCGAAGACGCGUAAGAACUUAGAAGAGAAGAAAAUAAAUAAGAAUGAAAAAGUCUAAAUGGAAAGUUAUGUAAUUUAUACAUAGUAUAAGAAGGGCGAAUGUAGCCAAGUGGAUCAAGGCAGUGGAUUGUGAAU
rnacentral:tRNA from 1 species